rnacentral:lncRNA from 1 species
AUUUAUUUAUUUUUUUCUUCCCCAAUUUUUAAAAUUUUUUACUUUGUAUUUUAUGCUGAACUUUAUGGACAAUAUUUUUAUUAGUCAAAGAUAAAAAUUUGGUAAUUUCAUUUCUUUAGAGCAGUGGUUCUCAAGCUUCCUAAUGGUGAGGAACUGUAUUAAAGGGUCACAUGUUGUGGUGACCCCCAACCAUAAAAUUAUUUUCGUUGCUACUUCAUAACUGUAAUUUUGCUAUUGUUAUGAAUCAUAAUAUAAAUAUCUGAUAUGCAGGAUUUAUUUUCAUUGUUACAUAUUGAACAUAAUUAAAGCAUAGUGAUUAAUCACAAAAACAAUAUGUAAUUAUAUAUUGUGAAAUA